GAACGAUGCCGACUUCGGCGAGCGCGCUGCGAAGAUCGCGCCAGAUCGCCUGCUGGUCGCUCGCAAGCUUCGAGACGGUCUCGUUGAUCUUGGCGAGCUGUUCGGUGGGCGUGGAGCCGUCCGGGCUGCGCUCGGCGAUGCCCUCACGAACCUGCGCCUUGAGGCCCGCGACGCGGACCAUGAAGAACUCAUCAAGGUUAUUGGCAGAAAUCGACAGGAACCGGACCCGCUCCAGCAGCGGAUGGGUCGGAUUGACCGCUUCUUUCAGCANNNNNNNUUGAAAGGGAGCCACGACAAUUCGCGGUUGAUAAAGCGUUCCGGGCUCGAUCCGAUCGCCGAAGCGAGCACUAAUUCUUCAUUUUCUUCUUUUUUUACAGUAACUUGC
rnacentral:misc_RNA from 1 species